rnacentral:lncRNA from 11 species
ACAAAAGAGAGAAUGAUUGUAAUGCAUUUCAACUCCCCUGUUGACUUAAUGGAGUUUAACAUACUCUAUUUGGAAAACAGUUAACUGGACAAUCAACGAAACUUUGUUCACUAUUUCAGUUAGUGUUGGAAAUUAUUACAUGUUGUUCCUUUUUAUUGUGCUGGUCAUAUACCAUAAUAAAGAUUGAUGAUUUAUGUUUGUAACAUAUGUAUCUGGACUUUAUGCUAAGAUAUAAAUCUUCUUCUGUAUGUGUAUGUACAUUUAAGUCACCUAUGAACCCACGGUGACCCUAGAAAAUUUCAUAUAAUUUUCUUAACUAAGGAACAUUCAAAAGAUGGUUUUGCCAAUUCCAUCCUUUGAAAUAGCCUAUAGCACCUGUUAUUUGCUGGUAGUCUCCCAUUCAAAUAUUAAACAUGGCUGAUUCUGCUUAGCUUUCAAGUUGAAAUGGAAUCUGGUAUUUUUCAGGUAACCUUUCAUAUUUUGUUUAGUUUUUUAACCUUUUAAACUGAGAAUGUUUAGUUUAUUGUCUAAAAUUAAUGUAAUUUAGGAUGAAUUGUCCCAAGCAUUAGGUUCUUAGUGUUUAUGAAAACACUAAGACAAAAAAAACCAUACUGGGAAGCAUAAUAAUCUUUUGUAUUCAUGCUUUGGGAACGGGGAUGGACUCUUAAGCACUCCUUUUAAAAUUAGCUUCAUUUGGAUUGGUUUAAAUAGUGUAAACAUGACGCUGUGCUGUAUUUUGUAUCCACCCUCAUCAGAGUGACUUGUUAAGACGAGGCAUCUUUUCACCUUGAGUAUAAACUUCUGGUUGAUGCUUGUGAGUGUUGUCUUCCCCAGCAGUUAUGCCUGUGGGUUUUAACCGAAGGUUACUCUGUGGUCCCCAAGUGACAGACAAGAUAUGUUCUGUAGACUUUCUUGAUUGGAAUCACUGGGUGGCUGUGAGUUUUUCGGGCUGUGUGGUCAUAUUCCAGAAGCAUUCUCUUCUGAUGUUUCACCCACAUCGAUGGCAGGCAUCCUCAGAGGUUGUGAUGUCUGUAGGUUUGUUCUUAAGUUGAAUUUGUAUGUAAGUCGAACAGUACAUUUGUAAGCAUAACUUCCAGCUACACACACACUCACACUCUUGGAUAGCAUAGGGAAAGGGUUAAUUCCUGUGGUUUUGUUUUGCUGUCUGUGCCCCUAUUCAGAAGAUUUCACCUUUCUGUCCUUAUGGUAAUUGGAUUUUGAAAAAAUUGGCUUGUUAUGGAAACAAGGAUUGGUGUGAAAGUUUUUACUCUUUCAGAAGUAAAUUUCGUUUCCUUAGGGGUAGAUUUCUGACACUGCCUGUUGUUUCACCCCUAUGAGUCAUUUGUAAGUUGGAUGUUUAUAACUCGGGGAAUGCCAGUAUUCCAAAUUAAUGAUAGCAAAUGUCAUUAAAAAGUAGUUUGCUUAUAAAAUGAAAUCUGAAUCUAAUACAACCAUGUUCAAUUCCUUAUUUAUAUUUUAAAAAUUGAUUCACAAUUCUCAAUCAUGCAGUAUGUAAAAAGAACAUCAUUUUUAUAUUUUAGAAAUGUUGAAUAUGGAAAAUGUGCACGUUGACACAGAGCUAGGCAGAAUUCCAUUGAUUUGGCUCUAGCCAGCUGUAUUUGUGUCAUCUGAAAAACUAGUGCAAUGUUUCAGGGUGUUUAGAUAGAAAGAUAACUAGAAGCUUCUGAAAAGCUUGACAUUAUUCUCUAUAUUAUUUCAUGCUAAAGUAAUGUAUUCUGUAUUUUUAAAGCCUAGGCUAAAUCGGGGAACUGCUUUCACUUGCUCACACUCACAGUAACAGUAGGUAAACAAAUAUUGUGGGAUUUGUUUUUACCCUUGUUUUCCCUGGCAGCCUUCACCAAGCACACACAACACAACACAACUGGAACCAACGUUGUGGUAUUUCUGGUGUAAUUUCUAGCUGAUUUUCCUGUGAAUUGUAGUAGGUCAUCCCAAAAUUUUCUUCCCCUCUCUAUUUUCCCCCCACAACAAAGAUUCUGACAUCUUUGUAUGGUUCAUUGAGAAAACUGUUGAUCAAGUCGUAUGAGCAUCCUACUCAUAAACAAGCCAAGAGUCUCACAGUUCUCUGGCUUAUAUCAAGUAACCAUGACCUGUGAGAAUAUGCAAGGGCUCAAAAAUUACUAUUUUUAAAGUUGAUAUGGAAUCCUGUAGCGACCAAGCAAAGCACUGACAGAUGCAACGGGUAGAUUUGGCUCAUAAAAACACUAUGUAACAUGAUUUUUGUUCCUGGAUUAUAAAUGUCUUUUCCUAAUUGGUUCUAUCAUAAAAACAUGGAAAAGUUUAUUGAAGUGCAAAAACUUUGUUUCUGCAGGACAUCCUGCAGCACAUUUUGCUAUAGUUUUUCAAUAAAUAUCUCAUAGUCACAACCAAUUCAACAUAGUUUGUGACAGUCACAUAUCAAAGUUUCUGGAGUAUAAUGACUGUUUCAAAGUAAGUCCCACACAAUUAAACAGGAAAUAACACUUUCAAACCAGGAACAGAAUUUUUUCAAAUUUUGUUACAUGG